GAAAACUGCCAGCAACUCACCCACGCACGCACGCCCCCGCACGACCUCUCGCCCCCUCCUCAUCCUCCCACCCCACGCAACAGCACGGGCCGGGACGCCGUUCAGCGAUCCUCCCGCGCCAUUCGCCGCCCAAGUGGUUCGCCGCCCCGCCGCCCCCCUGUCCUCCCGCGCCGUCGCCGCCCGCCGUUCUCUCCUCCCGUGUCUCCUGCAGCUUGCCCCACAUCGUGGUGCGCAAUGGGUACCAUCCAGAUUGAGUACAGGGCAUGGGCACGAGAGGCGCCGCGCUCCCUUCCAUGCACCGCUCUGCUGCUUUCGCUUCCAAGAAUACCGUUCUCCCACAAGAGCUUGGAUCGUCUGCCCGUGGUCGCAAUUUCCUGGCGUCUUCUGCUUCUUCUUUCUUUGGAUCCCUAGCUAGCGAGUCUGUUUCUUCCUCUGAAUUUCUAUGCAUUCACUAGCAAGCAACACUUUGAUUUAGCUGUAGCCAAUUCAGACGAGCAGCGGCGACAACUCCGACGCAACGGGCUUGGCCUGCGUCAGCGGCGGCGGGGUCCAUCUCCUCCCUCGAGCAGCGGUGGUGGCGUGGGACACAGCGGGCUCGGCCGCGAAGAUGGAUUUCUCCGGCGGGGCAUUUAAAAAUGCUGAUGUGCCGAUGAAUCCUCGCCUCUGUUCCUCGACCUCGCGUCAGGGACGCAUAUGCCCCUACGACCGUUCCUCCUCGUGGUCAGUGACGCAAAGCCGACGACACGGAAGCCGCUGCCGUUGUUCCUCUACGGGACGGUGAUACACACGGCAUAGCCUCUCCCUGAUCCUAUACUCCGUGCCUUGUCCAUCCAUAUGCGAUCUUAUUUUGUUUCAGUUUUUUGCUAGCUUUAACAUUGGCCUUUGUUCAAAUCCUAUUCAGGUUGAACCAUAGAAAGCGAGCACUCAAAGCUACAGAGGCAACCAGUCCAAAGGAAUAAGUAAGGUCAUGCCAGUUCAUUCAACUGUUCAAGCUCAACUAAGUGUUGCAUUGAAAUUUGCAAGUAACCUUGCUUCAACAUAAGAGAAUUGGGUGAUGGACGUGAUAUCAACAUGGUUAUGGACUACCAUGUAUGUUCAUAAAUAUGUACACCCUUUGGGGUCGGGCCCGCCGCCAUCGCGGACUAGGCCGGCGACAGCGGCGGUAGGAGGGGAGAUGGGAGGGACCUGUCGGCACAAGGGUUGGUGUCCCCUGGCGUCGCCCAAGGGAGGCGACGCGAGGGGGUAAGGAGACACAACUUGGAACAUGGUAAUUUUUGUUUAGGCUCUUACCUUUUGUAUUUGCACAAUGGUUGAUUUCCGUUUGAAAUGUUCAGGUACAUAAAGUUAGAGUAGUGGAGUAAAGCUUAAGAUUUUUUUUGUAUGAUUAAUUCCUGAGAUGUGAAAGCUUAUACAUGGAAUAACUCGGUUUCUUGAUCUGUACAUAAAAUAUGUGUGAUAUUUGAUUCAAGAGGAGUAUUGAUUCAUGAAGAUAAGACAUGCAUUGCGCAAGAAGACAAGACAACAUGGUGUAUAUAUAAGUAUGCAUCAAAUAUUCAUAUGUACAAUAUGCUGAUUGCUUUUCCAUCUUUGGGGUGUGUCUUAGGACUUUCAUAUGAACCUCUGAUUCUUUUUUACCACUUUCUACUUUGAGUCAGGUCAUGCAAGUUCAUCCAACUGUUCACGCUCAACUAUGUGUUGCAUUGAAAUUUGUAAGUAACCUUGCUUCAACAGAAGAGAAUUGGGUGAUGGACAUGAUAUCAACAUGGUUAUGGACUACCAUCUAUGUUCAUAAAUAUGUACACCCUUUGGGGUCGGGCCCACCGCCACCGUGGACUAGGCCGGCGGCAGCGGGGGCAGGAGGGGAGAUGGGAGGGACAUUAGGGUUGGUGAUGAGGACAUCAAUACCAUUGUUACACCCACAGCCCCUACUGCUACAUAUACUGGACCAAUUCUAGAGCUCGCGCAUGCCAAUUAAAUUAUCAGGUACUUUAGUUUCUUGGUAAUGAUUCUAAUGUUCAUGAGAAUAUGAUGCUGCCUAAAUUGGAUACAUUUGUUUUGCUUACAAAU